rnacentral:rRNA from 1 species
GGUGCAGUGCGGGUGCUAUACAUGCAGUCGAGCGGACAGAUGGGAGCUUGCUCCCUGAUGUUAGCGGCGGACGGGUGAGUAACACGUGGGUAACCUGCCUGUAAGACUGGGAUAACUCCGGGAAACCGGGGCUAAUACCGGAUGCUUGUUUGAACCGCAUGGUUCAAACAUAAAAGGUGGCUUCGGCUACCACUUACAGAUGGACCCGCGGCGCAUUAGCUAGUUGGUGAGGUAACGGCUCACCAAGGCAACGAUGCGUAGCCGACCUGAGAGGGUGAUCGGCCACACUGGGACUGAGACACGGCCCAGACUCCUACGGGAGGCAGCAGUAGGGAAUCUUCCGCAAUGGACGAAAGUCUGACGGAGCAACGCCGCGUGAGUGAUGAAGGUUUUCGGAUCGUAAAGCUCUGUUGUUAGGGAAGAACAAGUACCGUUCGAAUAGGGCGGUACCUUGACGGUACCUAACCAGAAAGCCACGGCUAACUACGUGCCAGCAGCCGCGGUAAUACGUAGGUGGCAAGCGUUGUCCGGAAUUAUUGGGCGUAAAGGGCUCGCAGGCGGUUCCUUAAGUCUGAUGUGAAAGCCCCCGGCUCAACCGGGGAGGGUCAUUGGAAACUGGGGAACUUGAGUGCAGAAGAGGAGAGUGGAAUUCCACGUGUAGCGGUGAAAUGCGUAGAGAUGUGGAGGAACACCAGUGGCGAAGGCGACUCUCUGGUCUGUAACUGACGCUGAGGAGCGAAAGCGUGGGGAGCGAACAGGAUUAGAUACCCUGGUAGUCCACGCCGUAAACGAUGAGUGCUAAGUGUUAGGGGGUUUCCGCCCCUUAGUGCUGCAGCUAACGCAUUAAGCACUCCGCCUGGGGAGUACGGUCGCAAGACUGAAACUCAAAGGAAUUGACGGGGGCCCGCACAAGCGGUGGAGCAUGUGGUUUAAUUCGAAGCAACGCGAAGAACCUUACCAGGUCUUGACAUCCUCUGACAAUCCUAGAGAUAGGACGUCCCCUUCGGGGGCAGAGUGACAGGUGGUGCAUGGUUGUCGUCAGCUCGUGUCGUGAGAUGUUGGGUUAAGUCCCGCAACGAGCGCACCCCUUGAUCUUAGUUGCCAGCAUUCAGUUGGGCACUCUAAGGUGACUGCCGGUGACAAACCGGAAGAAGGUGGGGAUGACGUCAAAUCAUCAUGCCCCUUAUGACCGGGGCUAACACCGUGCUACAAUGGACAAAAAAAAGGGCGCCCAAACCCGGGGGGUUAACCCAUCACACAAAUUUGUUUUCCGUUUGAAAUCAAUCUGGCAUCCUCCUGUGGUUAGUUUG